AUUUAAUUUUAGAUUUAAAUAAGUUUGAAGAAGAAAUCUUUAAUUGAUUUGUAAAAUCUUGACAUUUGUUUUGUGUAAAAAACCCAUAUAAUGUCAAAAAUUUGAUCACAAUCCAAAUUCAGAGCUGUAUCACGCUUAAAUGUUUUGUCCAUACCUGCCCCAACUGUUCAGGGAUCGACCUCUGCGGUCGUAUAAAGCUGCGCCCUGCGGAGCACCUGGUUGACAUUUGUCUUCUUGCAAACAACAAGAGUUGACUGAGAUAUAUACAUAUGGCCACCACAAGAGUUCCCCAGUCUGGCAGUGAUAUCACAUUUCGAGAGAGCCCGUUUUCGUUCGGAUGUGCGAGCUAUAUUAACACAUAUCCAUAUAUGCAUGUCAAAUUAGAAUGGGGACUUGAAAUCCUAUGUCUAUUGGAGAGAGAGAGAGAGAGAGAGAGAGAGAGAGAGAGAGUAACGCAUCUGAUGGUGGGCAAGCACGGAAAAUUUCUCUGUCCGUAUACAAAAUUACCGUUUUUCGCCAUUUUUCAAAGUCUAGUCCAUUGGUUAGUGACCGAUAGUUAGCGUACGGAUCGCCCCGGAAGUCGUUGAAGGUUUUUUUUUUAACCUAACGUGCCGAGAGCUUGACACACUCUAUACGCAAAGUAUCGAAUUUACUGUCCCCGUUCUGAUCGGACGUUAUAUUCUACUAGUAGUCGGGUUUUAUUUUGUGAUUUUAUUUAACAAAAUAGUUUUCUGUGAUGACGAUAAUCUCUACACGACCGAGCACGUUUUGUAUGAAUCAUGCUAUUGUGGAUAUCGUACAUGUGUUUGUGUGAUUUUUAGUCGGGCUUAUUAUUCAAUUACAGUGGCAAAUAUUUUAAGCGCAUUCAGAAAAAUCACAUAUAUCUAACAAAAAAUAUUUGUUGCACUCUAAUUGCUUGUCAAUAGCCGAAAAAUGCAUUUGUGUUUUUUUUUAAUGAAUUUCUAUCCAUACCAUUCAGUCAUCUCUAUGGUUAACCCAGCUCUUUUAACUAUUGAUUCUGACGCUCGAAAAUAAUCGGCGGAGGACAUUUUAGCGAAAACAUUCGGACGUUUUAGCGCAAAAGUAAACCCAUUUGAGCGCCUGAUUUUUGAUUCAUUUGAGCUAAGAUAAAAACUGUCAAUGCCCAUUUUAGCGAAAUAUUUUUUAACCCAUUAUAAUAAAUGAUAUAUAUAAUGAAUAAAAAACUUGUAUGGACUAAGACAGCACGAUAUAAAACAUAUCAUAUCCUAGCUAAAGUACAGCGCUAGAAGUCUAAAAGAUUAAAUCAAAUGUUAAAAGUCAUUUCUAGCCUGGAAUUCAUAUCCCAGAGAACGUACGUAAUGGGCAUAUACCCUUGUUAUGUACAAACAAAUAUAUAGAAUUGUAUUAGGAACUAUCUUUCUCUUUAUCUUGUAUAGAUUGUGGUGCACAUUCAUCUGUACUUCAUAUUUUCAAAUAUGUUGUUGUUUGCAAUUUGAUAAUAGUAUCAAGAAAAACGUAAAUAGCUGGGUGACAAAUUGUAGUUAAAAUUUGUGCCCAAAAUAAUUAUGUACUCCCGGGUAUGUACUACACUACAGUACAAACAAUCCUGCAAAUGUAUGAUGUAUGUGUUUAUGUAUAACAUAAAUUUAUAAAGUGAUUAGCUAUUUGAUUAUUAUUAAAGAACGCCCUGUUCGUGUUUAUCGCAAGAUUAUGGUUGUUUGAAAAUAACUUAGUGAAACGAAUGACGUUGUUUUCCCAUUAAACUACAAAUUCACACAACUAGUAGUUAUUAAAAAUAUUAUAAAUAUAAAUUAACUAACUUUAUGGUCCGCUGC
rnacentral:lncRNA from 1 species